rnacentral:tRNA from 1 species
GCCUCGGUGGCUCGGAGGCGAGAGCGCCGGCCUACGGAUCCCCAGGUGGCGGGUUCGAAUCCCGGCCGAGGUG